rnacentral:rRNA from 1 species
UGGGGUAUAUUGCACAAUGGGCGCAAGCCUGAUGCAGCCAUGCCGCGUGUGUGAAGAAGGCCUUCGGGUUGUAAAGCACUUUCAGCGGGGAGGAAGGCGAUAAGGUUAAUAACCUUGUCGAUUGACGCUACCCGCAGAAGAAGCACCGGCUAACUCCGUGCCAGCAGCCGCGGUAAUACGGAGGGUGCAAGCGUUAAUCGGAAUUACUGGGCGUAAAGCGCACGCAGGCGGUUUGUUAAGUCAGAUGUGAAAUCCCCGGGCUCACCCUGGGAACUGAAUCGGAUACUGACAAGCUUGAGUCUCGUAGAGGGAGGUGGAAUUCAAGGUGUAGCGGUGAAAUGCGUAGAGAUCUGGAGGAAUACCGGUGGCGAAGGCGGCCCACUGGACGAAGACUGACGCUCAGGUGCGAAAGCGUGGGGAGCGAACAGG